CUUUCAUGGACAGAGUCCUUCAUGGGUUUUGAGCACCUUUUGGAUUAAUGCCAGAAGAAAUCCUUCAAAACUUUGUGUCAGUCUUUCUGUUGUGGAGAUUUUUUUUUUUUCAGUCUUUUUGUCUGCCUAGCAUUUGCAUCCCCUUUCUACGUGAGAUUAAUCUUGGUGGGAGAAAGAGCAAACUUUAAACUUUAGAAACAUUAACUAUAUAAACUAUAAAAACUAAAAAUACCAGAUACGUUCUCAGCCUGAUUUGAAGCAAGGGUUUGGGCAAAUACUUCGGGCUCUCUAUAUUGGAUGCACUCAUACCAGUUUUUGAGUAGGAAGUUAGUGACACCAAAAAACACGGGAAGUGACUCAUUCUCUGAUAAAGGAAGUGGUUACAGCACAAUUGUGUUCCUGAUAGAUCAGUGACAACAUUAUCUAGGACACUCAGUGUUCUAGUUUUGUGGGGGCAGAAGUAGUUUCCUCAUCAGCCCAGUUUUGCAGCCUCAAUUGGGGCAUUGUUCAAGAUUCAUUGUUCUGAGCAAGAUGGUUCCGCUCUCCUGGUGAUUCAGAGAGCUACCUAUUAGUUUUUAAAAUAAACUCUUUUUUAUCCUCCCA
rnacentral:lncRNA from 1 species